rnacentral:rRNA from 1 species
CCUACGGGUGGCAGCAGUGAGGAAUAUUGGUCAAUGGACGAGAGUCUGAACCAGCCAAGUAGCGUGAAGGAUGACUGCCCUAUGGGUUGUAAACUUCUUUUAUAUGGGAAUAAAACGUUCCACGUGUGGGAUUUUGUAUGUACCAUAUGAAUAAGGAUCGGCUAACUCCGUGCCAGCAGCCGCGGUAAUACGGAGGAUCCGAGCGUUAUCCGGAUUUAUUGGGUUUAAAGGGAGCGUAGGUGGAUUGUUAAGUCAGUUGUGAAAGUUUGCGGCUCAACCGUAAAAUUGCAGUUGAAACUGGCAGUCUUGAGUACAGUAGAGGUGGGCGGAAUUCGUGGUGUAGCGGUGAAAUGCUUAGAUAUCACGAAGAACUACGAUUGCGAAGGCAGUUCACUGGACUGCAACUGACACUGAGGCUCGAAAGUGUGGGUAUCAAACAGGAUUAGAUACCCUUGUAGUC